GGAAGCUGCAGGUGGUUAGUUUGAGGGCAGACCUCGUGGCUGUCUGCAACUGCCCGAACGGACAUUGUGGAGAGGCUGCUGCUGGGCUCUUCUCACAGAAUGUAGUGCUAAAGACAGUUGAUGGAGCUGGAAAGAUCAUCUCCUCCUGCUGGUGGAAUACAGCCCCCACGCAGAUAAAAAUGCAACUGCCCCUGGAGCACAGGGAGAGAGAGAUCACUCUGCGGUGUUUGACAUCUGCGCACUGAAGGGGGUGAGAAGAGAUUAAAUCUCUUGCUCACCUUGGAGCAUUGCACUGGAGAGGUCAGGUCUGCUACUCAUCAGCAACUCCUGAAGUCAGCACAGGAAAGGAUUUGAGGUGUGCAGUCCUCUUUGGGGUGAUCACUGUCUGUCUACCCGGCGAGAGGCAGCAGCCAGGGUCUGGCUAGAUCCAGAGUUCGCAGGUCCUCCUGGCUCUCAGCCAGGCCAUCUUGGCUCUCCAAAUCGCUGACCUGACCCUCGCCGAACUCCAGGAUGGUUG